GCAUAUCAAUAAGCGGAGGAAAAGAAACCAACAGGGAUUGCCUCAGUAACGGCGAGUGAAGCGGCAAAAGCUCAAAUUUGAAAUCUGGUACCUUCGGUGCCCGAGUUGUAAUUUGAAGAUUGUACUCUGGAGUUGGCCCUUGUCUAUGUUCCUUGGAACAGGACGUCACAGAGGGUGAGAAUCCCGUGCGAUGGGGUGUCCAAUUCCAUGUAGAGUGCUAUCGAAGAGUCGAGUUGUUUGGGAAUGCAGCUCUAAGUGGGUGGUAAAUUCCAUCUAAAGCUAAAUAUUGGCGAGAGACCGAUAGCGAACAAGUACAGUGAUGGAAAGAUGAAAAGAACUUUGAAAAGAGAGUGAAAAAGUACGUGAAAUUGUUGAAAGGGAAGGUUAUUAGAUCAGACUUGGUGUUUGGCGAUAUUCAGCCUCUUGUAGGCUGUUCACUCGUCUUUCACUGGGCCAGCAUCGGUUUGGAUGGCAGGAUAAUGGCUGUUGAACGUGGCUCUUCGGAGUGUUAUAGCUUCAGCUGAUACUGCCUAUCUAGACCGAGGACUGCGGCUUUCGAGCCUAGGAUGCUGGCGUAAUGAUCUAAUAUCGCCCGUCUUGAAACACGGACC
rnacentral:rRNA from 1 species